AAAAUCAUAGGUAAUGCACUCCACCGCCAUGGCCUCUAUGCACGCUCAUCCAGCAUGAUUCUAUUGCUGAAGAAAAACAUGUUGAAGCUUGUUGAAAGUUUGUUACACAACAUUUGAACAAUCCUAUGAAAUACUGAGAGAAUGUAUUCUGGUCUGGCAAGAGCAAAUUAUUGA